AACGAACGCUGGCGGCAUGCCUAACACAUGCAAGUCGAACGAGACCUUCGGGUCUAGUGGCGCACGGGUGCGUAACGCGUGGGAACCUGCCCUUAGGUUCGGAAUAACUCCCCGAAAGGGGUGCUAAUACCGGAUAAUGUCUUCGGACCAAAGAUUUAUCGCCUUUGGAUGGGCCCGCGUUGGAUUAGCUAGUUGGUAGGGUAAAAGCCUACCAAGGCGACGAUCCAUAGCUGGUCUGAGAGGAUGGUCAGCCACACUGGGACUGAGACACGGCCCAGACUCCUCCGGGAGGCAGCAGUGGGGAAUAUUGGACAAUGGGCGAAGUCCUGAUCCAGCAAUGCCGGGUGAGUGAUGAAGGCCUUGGGGUUGUAAAGCUCUUUUACCCGGGCUGAUAAUGACAGUACCGGGUGAAUAAGCCCCGGCUAACUCCGUG
rnacentral:rRNA from 1 species